CACUGGGACUUGUGGAAGCUGUAUUUUCAGCCAGCUGUGACUCACUGUUCUGAAACUGGAGAGCAUUCGAGCCACCAGUGAGUUCAUCUUUAGGCAAGGCUUCCUUGAAGAAAAUUUUUGCUGCAUCCUCAUGAUGCUGGAACUCUAUUAUCCGUGCAGUACAACAGUUCAAUUCAUCUUGAUUUUUCUGUUGCUUUGCUGAUGAGGCAUGUUAAGAAUCACUCCAGUCCCAUGCCAAAGUUCCUGUCAUUCA